rnacentral:rRNA from 1 species
UACACACCGCCCGUCACACCGUGGGAGUUUGUUGCACCAGAAGCAGGUAGCUUAACCGCAAGGGGGGCGCUUGCCACGGUGUGGCCGAUGACUGGGGUG